rnacentral:rRNA from 1 species
GACGAACGCUGGCGGCGCGCUUAACACAUGCCAGUCGAACGGAAAGGCCUGCUUUCCCUUGUGGAUUGCGGGUACUCGAGUGGCGAACGGGUGAGUAACACGUGAGUGAUCUGCCCCCAACUUGGGUAUAAGCCUGGGAAACUGGGUCUAAUUCCCGAUAGGACUGCAGGGUGGUGCCUGUGGUGGAAAACGAUUUUCUAGUGGUUGGGGAUGAGCUCGCGGCCUAUCAGCUUGUUGGUGGGGUAAUGGCCUACCAAGGCGGCGACGGGUAGCCGGCCUGAGAGGGUGGACGGCCACAUUGGGACUGAGAUACGGCCCAGACUCCUACGGGAGGCAGCAGUGGGGAAUAUUGCACAAUGGGCGGAAGCCUGAUGCAGCGACGCCGCGUGGGGGACGACGGCCUUCGGGUUGUAAACUCCUUUCGACCGCGAGGAAGCCACCUGGUUGGAAGGGUGGUGACGGUAGUGGUAGAAGAAGCACCGGCUAACUACGUG